rnacentral:rRNA from 1 species
CGCCCGCCCGACCGUGUGGGGUUGCCGCGCAAGAAGCCGCGCGAGUUCAAGCCGGCCUUCGACCUGCCCGAGGCGCUCGCCGCCGCCGCCGACGGCCACGUGCCGAGCUGGGACGCGGAAGGCAGCGUCGUGAAGAACUACUCCGCUUUCGGGGUCCUGGCCAACCCCAACCUGCUCGGCGCCCACUCCCGCGGCACGCGAGGCCUCGUCCAGAGUGCCUCGCUGCAAGCGCCCGACGUCGACGCCUUGCGCGCCCCUGUGGACGAGUUCGGCCCCGUCGACACCGGCAGUGACCUCGAGUGCGACGGUCAGUCUCCCGUCCCUGCCUCGUCUGAUAAACUUGGACCGGCUCACGAGCUGGUGAAUUCAUGUUUUAUGCCCAGUUUCUUCGGGUAUCUUAGGUGCCGUAUUAAUUAG